rnacentral:rRNA from 1 species
UACGGAGGGUGCAAGCGUUAUCCGGAUUCACUGGGUUUAAAGGGUGCGUAGGCGGGCAGGUAAGUCCGUGGUGAAAUCUCUGAGCUUAACUCAGAAACUGCCAUGGAUACUAUUGUCUUGAAUAUUGUGGAGGUGAGCGGAAUAUGUCAUGUAGCGGUGAAAUGCUUAGAUAUGACAUAGAACACCAAUUGCGAAGGCAGCUCACUAACACAGUCAUUGACGCUGAGCACGAAAGCGUGGGGAUCAAACAGG